rnacentral:rRNA from 1 species
AACGAACGCUGGCGGCAGGCCUAACACAUGCAAGUCGAACGCAUCCUUCGGGGUGAGUGGCGCACGGGUGAGUAACACGUGGGAAUGUACCCUUUGGUUCGGAAUAACGUUUGGAAACGAACGCUAAUACCGGAUGAGCCCUACGGGGGAAAGAUUUAUCGCCAAAGGAGCAGCCCGCGUCUGAUUAGCUAGUUGGUGGGGUAAAGGCCUACCAAGGCGACGAUCAGUAGCUGGUCUGAGAGGAUGAUCAGCCACACUGGGACUGAGACACGGCCCAGACUCCUACGGGAGGCAGCAGUGGGGAAUAUUGGACAAUGGGCGCAAGCCUGAUCCAGCCAUGCCGCGUGAGUGAUGAAGGCCUUCGGGUUGUAAAGCUCUUUCGCACGCGACGAUGAUGACGGUAGCGUGAGAAGAAGCCCCGGCUAACUUCGUGCCAGCAGCCGCCGUAAUAC